rnacentral:rRNA from 1 species
CCUACGGGUGGCAGCAGUGAGGAAUAUUGGUCAAUGGGCGCGAGCCUGAACCAGCAAAGUAGCGUGAAGGAUGACUGCCCUACGGGUUGUAAACUUCUUUUAUAAAGGAAUAAAGUGAGGCACUUGUGCCUUUUUGUAUGUACUUUAUGAAUAAGGAUCGGCUAACUCCGUGCCAGCAGCCGCGGUAAUACGGAGGAUCCGAGCGUUAUCCGGAUUUAUUGGGUUUAAAGGGAGCGUAGAUGGGUUGUUAAGUCAGUUGUGAAAGUUUGCGGCUAAACCGUAAAAUUGCAUGUGAUACUGGCAGCCUUGAGUACAGUUGAGGUAGGCGGAAUUCGGGGUGUAGCGGUGAAAUGCUUAGAUAUAACGAAGAACUCCGAUUGCGAAGGCAGACUACUAAACUGCCACUGACAUUGAUGCGCGAAAGUGUGGGGAUCAAACAGGAUUAGAGACCCGAGUAGUC